rnacentral:rRNA from 1 species
UGGGGAAUAUUGCACAAUGGGCGCAAGCCUGAUGCAGCAACGCCGCGUGAGCGAUGAAGGUCUUCGGAUCGUAAAGUUCUGUUGCAGGGGAAGAUAAUGACGGUACCCUGUGAGGAAGCCCCGGCUAACUACGUGCCAGCAGCCGCGGUAAUACGUAGGGGGCUAGCGUUAUCCGGAUUUACUGGGCGUAAAGGGUGCGUAGGUGGUCUUUCAAGUCGGUGGUUAAAGGCUACGGCUCAACCGUAGUUAGCCUCCGAAACUGGAAGACUUGAGUGCAGGAGAGGAAAGUGGAAUUCCCAGUGUAGCGGUGAAAUGCGUAGAUAUUGGGAGGAACACCAGUAGCGAAGGCGGCUUUCUGGAGUGCAACUGACACUGAGGCACGAAAGCGUGGGUAGCAAACAGG